GUCCACGGCCAUACCACCUUGAAUGCGCCCAAUCUCAUCUGAUCUCGGAAGCUAAGCAGGGUUGGGCCUGGUUAGAACUGGGAUGGAAGAAAGACCAAGGACUUUGCUAUGGCUG
rnacentral:rRNA from 1 species